rnacentral:lncRNA from 1 species
AUGAAAUCCAGCUACUGUCCCCUGCUUGUGAGGUGCUUUUCCUCUGGAUCCUCCACCAAACACGGCAGCAUUCAGAGCCUGCAAGAAGGAUCCUUAUGGAGUGUUUUUUUGCACCCUUCACGUUGCCUGCCUGCACUGAUGGUACAUCUCCUAGAACUCCAUGUGUAUACUGCUGAUCCUUGGUUUUCCCAGGAUAAGGCAAUACAAGCCUUCUUGUUGGAAAUGCCUGGAAAUGUGUACAAAACACUCACCAAAAGCGUUCAGAAUGAAGACUCAGCACAAUUUCAGUGCUGGCAUGCGAAUGCAGACUCCUGUUUCCUGCUUCCUUUGCAGCCCUGGCAGCCUGUGUGUGGAGUGUGUCAGCCAAGAUCAUGCUUAGUUCCUCACCUUGAUGAUAUUGAGCUUGUCACAGCCAGCUUUUCCACAUGCAUAUCUUUCUCUUGGAUUUAUGUGGCAAGAGGCAGAAGUUAAGUGGCCAGCAAUGCCUUCCUCAGGAUGUCAGGAUGCUUUUUUAGGCCAGAGAGAACCUUUGGUCUCCUGCAUAGCAAGAGCGUGACAGAGUCGCUGAGCUAUCAAAUCAGUUAUUCUGCCAACAUCUUUCUGGUUCACUGAGGAGUAAAUUAAUCCCACCUAAGAGUGCUCCAGCAGCAGAGGGAGAGAGAGCACACACACUGCCCUGCUCGGGCAGCGAGGUGCUCGCCAGGAGUGUAAGUCAUGGAUAAAUAAUUCCUUUUCUUUGGGAAACCUUCAAGGACCUACUUCUCGAAGCGCUUCCACACACAUGGUGGGACAGCUGUAGCAAGGCAGCUUCGCCGGGGGAAGAAAACAAGCCCUGGGGCAGGUGCAGCAGCUCCACCGUGGAUCUCCACAGUCCACCACGGUCCUGGGAUGUCUGGGACUGGCACCAGCUUCUGGGUCAGCGCUGGUCAGAAGGUGGUGGUGAGGGAGCUGCUCCAGCAGAAAGCGUUGGGACAGGCCUUAGACCACCCUCAUCACUUGGAAAGGAGGGAGUGAGUCUCUGGCACGAUGUCACCAAUCCUUCUGCCCCCCAAAAGCUUUACUUAGCAAAGUCCAGAAGCUCCAAUGAGAAAAUAAGAGAGGUACAACACGUGGUUGUACCCCAAAUCUGUGCCUCCAGUUCCAGCUGUUACAAUGAACUGCAAACCCAUGUAUUUUCUGUGUGAUUUCUCCCAAGUUGAUCCUCUUUUUUUACCCUGUUCUUACGUCUUUCCUGGUUUCCACAUAUGUUUUUGAUCUUUUCAUUGCUUUACUGCAAUAAUGUACCUCCAACUGCUCCAGUGUUGUCCUCAGUUGCCCUAAGGCAGUAAAUGCUUUGCCACAGGAGUAUGUGCAACCCUGGGAAGGACCAAGAUUUCUGUUAAAGACCCAUCUGGUCAUAAAGUGAGUGUUUAUCUAAACCCCAGAUUAUUCAGGUUUUCUGGGCAUUUUCUGCCUAGAUCUCUACUGUAAGUGGCUGUUGCAUUUGUUCACGAACUAAACGUACAUUAUUCCUGGCAGCCCUCAUAAUGAGCUCUCCACACAAAUGACCUCUUGGAAGCUCUGUGACUCCUGCAAAACAUAAGAAAAUUGAAAAUCUGUAUUUGCAAGGUCAGAAGUAAAACAAAAACCUCCUUUUGGCUGUCUCAAAGUAAAGCCAUACAAAGUAAAGACCUCACUGAACAGCAACUUAAAAUAAAUACAAUUUCCUUUGCCAUAAUAAAUGUUUCAGUAUAAAGUUGAAUAUAUAAUUCAUUCCACUUAGCUGUAACAUUUUGCUAAACAUCAGGAAUUUCAAGGGAACAACUUCAGUUUCUUACAGGCUUUAACUGCUCUCUUGAAAACCUUUUGGAGAAGAAAAAUGUGCCCUGGGAUGGCUUUUAAGCAUUUAUUUGGUUCAUUGUUGAGAUCUGACUUUCUUCAACAACAUAUAAAUUGUUUCUGUGACCUUAAUAGAAAUCUGAAGCUCUAACUAGCUUUUAGAAUUUCACCUCAUGGACCAGAUCCUUGGCUGCCAUCCUGCCUACUUUGGUCUGCUCAGGAGGAAUUUGGGGAAUGUAUGAAGUGUUUUAACGGCAGCGACAAAUUAAGGUUUUCUUUCAGCUCAAGAGUGAGCUACAAUUAGGACAUGAUUGUUGUAAGGAGAAAAAACCCUCUCAACUGAAGUGUUUCCAAGCUACUCAUCACUUCCUAGUGUCUCUCCUUAUGGAAAUUCAUCUAGUCCUGUGAUACUGAUCUUGUAAACAAAUACUUUCUUUCCUUACCUCCUGUGAUAAAAUUCAUGCUUGAUAUUUCUUUAGGAACUCCUUGGCCCCUUCUUGUCUUUUUUCAGAUUGGGAAAUGUGAAGAAAAAAGAAAAAGGAUUUUUUUUUUAAUAUCUCAGUUUGGAUCACUCAUCCGUAUAAUGACUUUAAAAAUCCCACAAAAACAUCAACAAGAAGGUGAAUUGAAAUUGAAUUUAAUAAUUCCUUCUGAACAUUUUUUUUUUUAUUAAAGAAUAACUGUAUGGCAGAGCAAUAGCAGAUACUUGGGCCAAAUGCUUGUUGUCAGAAUAUACCAUUAGGGAAAAAGUGAUGUAGUGCUAGGGGAAUAUGUUUAAUUUUUUUGUGUCUGUGUAUAUCUGGAUAAGGAACCUGGCAGACAGCUCCCCUUAAAUCCAGUCAUCAGCCCACCCUCGGUGUUCAGCACUGCUGAUUGUGUUAUUUGUGCAGGUAUUAUACAAAAGGAUGCACAACUUCCACGUUAUUUUUUUGUUUGAGGGGACUUAGAAAUCCGCUACUGUUUGGAGUGCUUUGUAAUGCACAUUCCCUUCACGGAUGUGGGAAUAGAUCCAUUCUUGCUGGUCUAAAUUGAAACUUCCUCCAGUUUCCCUGUACCGGCACUGCUGCACAGAGUGUUUCCCUGGAGAGGAACUAAUGGAGUAAAUGCUUUGUACUUGCUCAUGAGUUCCAAAGUCCCUUUGCUGCCGCCUUCAUGCCAUGAAUUCAGUGUGUUUGAUACGAGGCACAGCUGCCUCACCCAGAGGAAAACUACCUUCGUAUGUAGGCUCUGGCAUUCCUGUCAUACAUUCGUGUUCCUUUUGGGAAGGGUUGACAGGUUUUAACUCUUCCUGAGAGACCACAGCUCUGGACGCUGAUUCUGGAAACUCCAGAGGUUUAAUGUAAAGCCCUCUGUGGGUGUAUUGUGUGUGUGUGUGUCUUCUCACUUACCAAAAUGAGGAUGGAGAUGCUCCAGGCUGCCUUUUGUAGUGGAGCUCUACUUCUACCCGAGCUGCUGUUUAAAGCGCUGUGCAGGUGUGGAUUUAACUCUUCAUGUGGAUACCACCACUUACUUGAUCAGAAAGGAACGAAAGCAAUUCAGCUUUUAUCAAAAUUAAAUGCCCGUCGGGUGGCUUGGUGACCUCCCCAUUCUGUGUUCACAUCACUGCCCCAAGGCUGCCAGAGCUCAAGGAGCAUUUGGACAACACUCUCAGGCAUAUGGUGGAAUUUUGGGGGGUGUCCUAUGCAGGGCCAGGAGUUGAACUCUGAUAAUCCUUGUGGGUUCCUUCCAACUCAGGAUAUUCCGGGGUUUUGUCGAAGAGACCGAGGCAGCUGUUUGCUAUGACAUUUCACACGUGUCCCCAGCCCUUCCCGGCGCUCUGCGCGGCAGGCACGGCGUUAUUCCACGUCCCGGCGGUCCCCUGUGGCGGGCUGUUCCGCAUCGCGGCGGUGCGGGGCUCGAUGUGCGCGGUGCCUCCCGCGGGUCCCUUCCCGGGCGGGCGCAGCUGCCCCGCGGCCGCGGUGACGAUCGCGACCCGGCGCACGCGCGGUCUGCGUGUGCGCCCCCCCCCCCGCACGCGGCCGGGGCCGCCGUGACGUCACGAGAUGCCCACGGUGUGUGUCCCCCCUUCCCGCGCGCGGCCGGAGCUGCUGUGACGUCACGAAGUGCCCGGUGCGUGUGUGUCCCCCCCCCGCCGCAUCCCGCUCCCCUCCCUCCCCGCACGCGGCGGGGGCC